GCUAGGGACACUGCCGAGCUAGAGGGUGGGCGAGGUCAGCGGUAUUCCUGGGGUAGGGGCGAAAUCCAUUGAUCCCAGGAGGACCACCAGUGGCGAAGGCUGCUGACCAGAACACGCCUGACGGUCAGGGACGAAAGCUGGGGUAGCGAAUCGGAUUAGAUACCCGAGUAGUCCCAGCCGUAAACGAUGCAGGCUAGGUGUUGGGAUGGCCACGUGCCGCCCCAGUGCCACAGGGAAGCCAUUAAGCCUGCCGCCUGGGGAGUACGGCCGCAAGGCUGAAACUUAAAGGAAUUGGCGGGGGAGCACCACCAGGCGUGAAGCCUGCGGUUUAAUUGGAGUCAACGCCGGGAACCUUACCGGGAGCGACAGCAGGGUGAAGGCCAGGCUGAAGGUCUUGCCGGACGAGCUGAGAGGAGGUGCAUGGCCGUCGCCAGUUCGUGCCGUGAGGUGUCCUCUUAAGUGAGGUAACGAACGAGACCCGCGCCCCAUGUUGCCAGCAAAUCCUAAAGGGAUGUUGGGCACUCUUGGGGGACCGCAGCCGAUAAGACUGAGGAAGGUGCGGGCAACG
rnacentral:rRNA from 1 species